GCCUUUAGCCUAUAUGGGACACCCCAGAUAAAUAAGCUAUAAAAAGGGACAUGAUGAAUGACCAAGGGGCGCCAACUCUUGGCACUCCAAUUUCUCACAAGGAGAAAUAAAUCUCUAUGAUUUAUUUUGGUGCAGAAGAACCUUCACACAGAAGGACUCCUCCUCUAUGCCCCAUAAAUUUCUCACAUUAAAUUGGCAUGUAAUAAAUAAGGAUCGGGAUGAGAAUCGAUAAGUUGGAUAAGAGUCUUCAUUAAGAAUGACUCUUCACUUCUCAACGCAAUUAAGAGGGAGGCGGCAAUUUAUUUUUCCUGU
rnacentral:lncRNA from 1 species